rnacentral:rRNA from 1 species
AGCGAACGCUGGCGGCAGGCCUAACACAUGCAAGUCGAACGAACUCUUCGGAGUUAGUGGCGGACGGGUGAGUAACACGUGGGAACGUGCCUUUAGGUUCGGAAUAACUCAGGGAAACUUGUGCUAAUACCGAAUGUGCCCUUCGGGGGAAAGAUUUAUCGCCUUUAGAGCGGCCCGCGUCUGAUUCGCUAGUUGGUGAGGUAAAGGCUCACCAAGGCGACGAUCAGUAGCUGGUCUGAGAGGAUGAUCAGCCACAUUGGGACUGAGACACGGCCCAAACUCCUACGGGAGGCAGCAGUGGGGAAUCUUGCGCAAUGGGCGAAAGCCUGACGCAGCCAUGCCGCGUGAAUGAUGAAGGUCUUAGGAUUGUAAAAUUCUUUCACCGGGGACGAUAAUGACGGUACCCGGAGAAGAAGCCCCGGCUAACUUCGUG